rnacentral:misc_RNA from 1 species
UCCCCCCUUGAUUCAAAAUUACAUAAAAGUUGUGAUCUAAAGUAAGCAUGCUUGUCAUAGGAGAGUGCCUUGGUCAAUAUAUCAGCUACUUGCUCAUUUGUACUGCAGAAUUUGAGAGCAAUUUCACUAUUUGUAACCAGAUCACGAAUGAAGUGAUGACACAGAUCUAUGUGCUUAGUUCUUCCGUGGAAUGCUGGGUUCUUGGCCAUUGCAAUUGCUGCACUAUUAUCACAAAAAAUUUCUGUUGCACUCUUUUGUUCUUGGCCAAAAUCUGAAAGUAAUCUUCGCAACCAAACUGCUUGACACACUAAGGAAGUGGCAGCCACAUAUUCUGCCUCUGAUGAAGAAAGAGCUAUUGUUGCUUGCUUCUUUGAACUCUAUGAGACAGCACCAGACCCAAGACUAAAUAUGUUUCUUGAAGUACUCUUUCUAUCAUCCAAACAACCUACCCAAUCACUAUCCGUGUAUCCAAAUAGCUUGCAUUCUGAUUUCUGUGAAUACCAAGUCCCAUACUCCACUGUUCCAGCAAUGUACCGCAAGAUCCUUUUAGCUGCCCCAAAAUGAUGCUUUGUAGGAGAGUGCAUAAACCUACAAACAACACCAACUGGAAAUGCUAUAUUUGGCCUAGUGUGAGUUAAAUAAAUUAGCCCUCCCACAAGACUUCUAUAAUGACUAUCAUCUCCCUUUCCAAUUCCAUCUUCAACCUGUAACUGCUCAUUCAUAUUCAUAGGCGUGACUUUCUUCUUCAGGUAGAGAGUUGGCUCAUUUUGCUCCUUUCAAAACCAUUUUGCUGAAAAAAAGAGUUGAUUUUGCCGUACCACGCAUGUGGGGCUUGCUACAACCCAUAGAGAGCUUUCUUCAGCUUGUACACCUUCUCUUCCUUGCCUUUAACUGUAAAACCUUCAGGCUGAGUGACAAAGACUUCUUCAUCCAAGUCACCAUUCAAAAAGGCAGACUUAACAUCAAGUUGAUAAACUAACCAAUUAAAUUGAGCAGCCAAGGCCAAGAAAAUUCUCACAGUUUCAAACCGAGCAACCGGAGAAAAUGUGCCUUCAAAGUCUACUCCUUGCUGCUGUGAAUAUCCCUUUGCUACAAGCCUUGCCUUAUGCCUUUGAAUGCUUCCAUCAGCAUGAUACUUCGUCUUAAAUACCCAUUUAAGACCAAUUGUGUGUUUCCCAUCCGGCAAAUCUACUAACUCGCACGUGUCAUUCUUUUCAAUUGCCGCAAGUUCUUCCUUCAUUGCGUUGCACCAUUCCUCCUGCGUUGCACCAUUCCUCCUUUUUAUUGCUUCUUCAAAGCUGGUUGGCUCAGCUACAAAUAAUGCAUAAGUGGAGUCAUAGAUCUCCUGGAGUGAUCUGAAUUUUCUGGGUGGGCUUUCAUUGUAAGAUUCAUUUGUAGAUGAUGAUGGUCUUCUACUCGAAGAUGAAUUUGAAGAGCUGCAAGUAUUUGGUGUUGAUGGAGUAGAAGUUGUUGGAAUUGUAUCCAAUGCUUCAGUUGGAGGAUCUUCAUUUUCUGAUGAAAUUAUAGCCACUGAACUUUCCCCAUUUUUGCCCUAAUUCCAGCUUGAAUUUUCAUCAAAGGUCACAUUCCUACUAAUAAUCACCUUGACACUUAUAGGGUUAUAUAACCUAUACGCUUUGGAUUGUAAUGAAUAACCAACAAAAAUGCAUUUUUCAGAUUUGCUAUCUAAUUUUUGAGAUUUUGUGAUUCAACCAAAGCAUAGGAAAUACAACCAAAAACUUUUAAGUGGCUUAACCGAGGCUUCAUAGUUGUCCAAGCUUCAUAAGGGGUCUGAUUUGGUAUUGCUUUUGUGGGUGAAAUAUUGAGCAAAUACACCACUGUUGUAACUGCUUCAGCCCAAAAAUUAUUUGGCAAUCCUUUUGCUCGCAACAAGCUUCUAGCCAUUUCAACUACGGUGCGAUUCUUCCGUUCAGCAAAGCCGUUUUGCUCCGGUGUACAUGGGGCUGUCAAAUUCCUGCAAAUGCCAUUUUCCUCACAAAAAGUUUUGAACUCAUUAGAUAAAAAUUCACCACCUCUGUCUGUGCGAAGAGUUUUUAUGCAGCCUCCAUUUUGCUUUUCAACAAGUGCCUUGAACUUCUGAAAGCUUUCAAAGGUUUCUGAUUUAUACUUCAAAAAAUACACCCAACUCAUACGGCUAUAAUCAUCAGUAAAUAGCAAAAAGAUAUCUACUAGCACCAAGAGAAUUUGUCUGCAUAGGCCCACACAAGUCAGCAUGUACAAGUUCAAGACAACUUAAAGUCCUCCAAGAAUUUCCUAUAGGAAAUGACUUUCUACUUUGUUUCCCAUAAAUACACCCUUCACAUGCUUCUAAAGAUUCUAUUUUAGGCAGUCCAUAAACCAUUUCCUUUUGAUUUAAUAGUUUCAACCCCUUUACAUUUAAAUGCCCAUACCGUAAAUGCCACAACUUGGACUCAUUUUUCUGACUACUAGCAACAAGGGCCUGACUUUCUAUAGCAGUGACUUCUAAAGGAAACAUCUUAUUUGCUGUCAUUUUAACAUUAACUAAGGUUUGCCCUGUUUCUUUAUCUCUAAUAGUGCAAGAAGAAUCAUCAAAUAACACAGAGUACCCACUUUCCAUCAAUUGCAGACAAACUAGGAACAAAAAACACAUUAUGAAGAAGCUUGAUAUUACCAGUGCUAGUAGUCACCACAACAGUCCCUCUAUCUUCAGCUUGAAGUGGCUUACUGUCUCCAAGCCUUACUCUUGUCUUUUGAGAUUCAUCAAGCUCCUUAAAUACUGAUUUCAUGCCUGUCAUAUGACUCGAACAGCCGCUAUCCAGGUACCAGACUUCAUUCACAGUUGCUACAUCACGCUUAGCUUCAAGGGCCAUGAACAACAUUUCUUCUUCUUUGUCUUCCAUGACAUAACUUGCUUGCUUUUCUCGUUUCCAACAAUCUGCCUUCACAUGCCUGAACUUGUUGCAGUAGUGGCAUUGAAUACCACUUUUAUAACUCUUUUGCUCAUUUGAAGAUUGCCCUCGAUCAGCUUGCCUUUGACGAGCCUUGAAAUUCUUUCUUCAAUGUCUCCCAUGCUUCCUUUGCUGUAGUGGCUGUUGCGAUCCUUGAAAAAACUGUGUCAUGGACAGCUUGUUGGAUGAAGAACAAUGUCUUUGAGUCCUUUCUAUUUUCCCUCAACCUAUUUCUUCAUCUGGGUCAGAAUACCCAUUCUCCACAAGAUCCCAAAGAUCUUGAGACCUGAACAACGUCAUCAUUUUGAAGCUCCAGAACUCAUAAGAGUCUCCUUUGAAGAUAGGAAUGAGGGGCUGAGUGACAUUCACGCCGUUUCCAUUUGCAGCCAUGGAAACUUCUCACAGGACUUUCGUCGAACAUUUGGUGAGCAACACAACCAGGCUCUGAUACCAAAAACGCUGGGAAAAGAAAUUAAACCAGCAACUACAAACAACUUUAAAAAAGAAUAAACAACAAGAUAUAUGGGAGAAAUCAUGAAGAAACCGACUUGUUAUUAAUCUGAAUUGAAAGAGCCUAUUUAUAGGCUUACAUAGAAACUGAAGGACUUAAAAAAUCUGAACACGAUCUGCCCACUAACAAAAAAUACGCCCACUAUCAGAUAUUGAAACUAAUAAAUAGGAGAUAAAUAAGACACUAAGUAAGGACCAAGUCAAAAAACACCCGGCUGUAAUUUUGAAUUAAUAUUCAACAAAAUUUACAAAGAAAACUGCCAUCAAGCAAUUGCCUUGUGUUCAGUCGUCUUAUCUUACCUGAUUAUAGAAAAGGAAAAUAAAAUUGCACAGGAAACAAACUCAUUUGAUCCAAUUCUAGAUCAUAGCUUCAUGAUUUUGUUGUUUUAUCUCCAGACUGACAGGCUUUCGUUUAGCUAUUAUCAUAAAAGUUUAGGAUGGUAAUUUCCAGGGUCAAAGUUUAGCUAUUUUCAUAAAGGUCACCUGAUUGGAGCUUAAAAUACAAAAGCUCUCUUUCUCAGCGUCGAAGGCUGGAAUUCCAGAAGCCAUUUACAUCUCCGCUUCUGAAACAAUGACUAUCUCAGCCGCCCAAUCCUUAGGACCCUCCACACUCAUCGAAAAUUUUUUUAACAUGAAAUGAAGAUUUCAAUAGGAUUUAAGGACUAUACAGAAUCCGACUCGCACUAUUAAAGUCCAAAUGAAGCCAAAAUUUA